rnacentral:rRNA from 1 species
CGACGGUUGUAGCAAUACAGCAGUGGCAGACGGGUGAGUAACACGUGGGAACCUACCUAGGGGUACGGAAUAACUCAGGGAAACUUGUGCUAAUACCGUAUACGACCUUCGGGUGAAAGAUUUAUCGCCCCUAGAUGGGCCCGCGUUGGAUUAGCUAGUUGGUGGGGUAAAAGCCUACCAAGGCGACGAUCCAUAGCUGGUCUGAGAGGAUGAUCAGCCACACUGGGACUGAGACACGGCCCAGACUCCUACGGGAGGCAGCAGUAGGGAAUCUUGGACAAUGGGCGAAAGCCUGAUCCAGCCAUGCCGCGUGAGUGAUGAAGGCCUUAGGGUUGUAAAGCUCUUUCGCCAGGGAAGAUAAUGACGGUACCUGGAUAAGAAGCCCCGGCAAACUUCGUGCCAGCAGCCGCGGUAAUACGAAGGGGGCUAGCGUUGUUCGGAAUUACUGGGCGUAAAGCGCACGUAGGCGGUUUUCCAAGUUGGAGGUGAAAUCCCUGGGCUCAACCCGGGAACUGCCUCCAAAACUGGAUGACUCGAGUCCGAGAGAGGUGAGUGGAAUUUCCAGUGUAGAGGUGAAAUUCGUAGAUAUUGGAAAGAACACCAGUGGCGAAGGCGGCUCACUGGCUCGGUACUGACGCUGAGGUGCGACA